rnacentral:sRNA from 1 species
CCGACCCUGCUUAGCUUCCAAGAUCAGACAAGAUGGGGCACGUUCAGGGUGGUAUGGCCGU